GGCAAGAUGGCCGAGCGGUUAAGGCGUGUGACUCAAGUUCGUCCGGAUUAUAUAAUUCGGAACUGGCUUACCCGGACACGGGUUUCUCAUCACGGUAUCGUGGCGUGGGUUCAAGUCCCACUCUUGUCA